rnacentral:rRNA from 1 species
UCGACGGAAAGGCCCUGCUUUUGUGGGGUGCUCGAGUGGCGAACGGGUGAGUAACACGUGAGUAACCUGCCCUUGACUUUGGGACAACUUCAGGAAACUGGGGCUAAUACCGGAUAGGAGCUCCUGCUGCAUGGUGGGGGUUGGAAAGUUUCGGCGGUUGGGGAUGGACUCGCGGCUUAUCAGCUUGUUGGUGGGGUAGUGGCUUACCAAGGCUUUGACGGGUAGCCGGCCUGAGAGGGUGACCGGCCACAUUGGGACUGAGAUACGGCCCAGACUCCUACGGGAGGCAGCAGUGGGGAAUAUUGCACAAUGGGCGGAAGCCUGAUGCAGCAACGCCGCGUGCGGGAUGACGGCCUUCGGGUUGUAAACCGCUUUCGCCUGUGACGAAGCGUGAGUGACGGUAAUGGGUAAAGAAGCACCGGCUAACUACGUGCCAGCAGCCGCGGUGAUACGUAGGGUGCGAGCGUUGUCCGGAUUUAUUGGGCGUAAAGGGCUCGUAGGUGGUUGAUCGCGUCGGAAGUGUAAUCUUGGGGCUUAACCCUGAGCGUGCUUUCGAUACGGGUUGACUUGAGGAAGGUAGGGGAGAAUGGAAUUCCUGGUGGAGCGGUGGAAUGCGCAGAUAUCAGGAGGAACACCAGUGGCGAAGGCGGUUCUCUGGGCCUUUCCUGACGCUGAGGAGCGAAAGCGUGGGGAGCGAACAGGCUUAGAUACCCUGGUAGUCCACGCUGUAAACGGUGGGUACUAGGUGUGGGGUCCAUUCCACGGGUUCCGCGCCGUAGCUAACGC